GAUGAACGCUGGCGGCGUGCCUAAUACAUGCAAGUCGAGCGAACGGACGAGAAGCUUGCUUCUCUGAUGUUAGCGGCGGACGGGUGAGUAACACGUGGAUAACCUACCUAUAAGACUGGGAUAACUUCGGGAAACCGGAGCUAAUACCGGAUAAUAUUUUGAACCGCAUGGUUCAAAAGUGAAAGACGGUCUUGCUGUCACUUAUAGAUGGAUCCGCGCUGCAUUAGCUAGUUGGUAAGGUAACGGCUUACCAAGGCAACGAUGCAUAGCCGACCUGAGAGGGUGAUCGGCCACACUGGAACUGAGACACGGUCCAGACUCCUACGGGAGGCAGCAGUAGGGAAUCUUCCGCAAUGGGCGAAAGCCUGACGGAGCAACGCCGCGUGAGUGAUGAAGGUCUUCGGAUCGUAAAACUCUGUUAUUAGGGAAGAACAUAUGUGUAAGUAACUGUGCACAUCUUGACGGUACCUAAUCAGAAAGCCACGGCUAACUACGUGCCAGCAGCCGCGGUAAUACGUAGGUGGCAAGCGUUAUCCGGAAUUAUUGGGCGUAAAGCGCGCGUAGGCGGUUUUUUAAGUCUGAUGUGAAAGCCCACGGCUCAACCGUGGAGGGUCAUUGGAAACUGGAAAACUUGAGUGCAGAAGAGGAAAGUGGAAUUCCAUGUGUAGCGGUGAAAUGCGCAGAGAUAUGGAGGAACACCAGUGGCGAAGGCGACUUUCUGGUCUGUAACUGACGCUGAUGUGCGAAAGCGUGGGGAUCAAACAGGAUUAGAUACCCUGGUAGUCCACGCCGUAAACGAUGAGUGCUAAGUGUUAGGGGGUUUCCGCCCCCUAGUGCUGCAGCUAACGCAUUAAGCACUCCGCCUGGGGAGUACGACCGCAAGGUUGAAACUCAAAGGAAUUGACGGGGACCCGCACAAGCGGUGGAGCAUGUGGUUUAAUUCGAAGCAACGCGAAGAACCUUACCAAAUCUUGACAUCCUUUGACAACUCUAGAGAUAGAGCCUUCCCCUUCGGGGGACAAAGUGACAGGUGGUGCAUGGUUGUCGUCAGCUCGUGUCGUGAGAUGUUGGGUUAAGUCCCGCAACGAGCGCAACCCUUAAGCUUAGUUGCCAUCAUUAAGUUGGGCACUCUAAGUUGACUGCCGGUGACAAACCGGAGGAAGGUGGGGAUGACGUCAAAUCAUCAUGCCCCUUAUGAUUUGGGCUACACACGUGCUACAAUGGACAAUACAAAGGGCAGCGAAACCGCGAGGUCAAGCAAAUCCCAUAAAGUUGUUCUCAGUUCGGAUUGUAGUCUGCAACUCGACUACAUGAAGCUGGAAUCGCUAGUAAUCGUAGAUCAGCAUGCUACGGUGAAUACGUUCCCGGGUCU
rnacentral:rRNA from 1 species